rnacentral:rRNA from 1 species
GUGAACGCUGGCGGUAGGCCUAACACAUGCAAGUCGAACGGCAGCACAGUAAGAGCUUGCUCUUACGGGUGGCGAGUGGCGGACGGGUGAGGAAUACAUCGGAAUCUACUUUUUCGUGGGGGAUAAUGUAGGGAAACUUACGCUAAUACCGCAUACGACCUACGGGUGAAAGCAGGGGAUCUUCGGACCUUGCGCGAUUGAAUGAGCCGAUGUCGGAUUAGCUAGUUGGCGGGGUAAAGGCCCACCAAGGCGACGAUCCGUAGCUGGUCUGAGAGGAUGAUCAGCCACACUGGAACUGAGACACGGUCCAGACUCCUACGGGAGGCGGCAGUGGGGAAUAUUGGACAAUGGGCGCAAGCCUGAUCCAGCCAUACCGCGUGGGUGAAGAAGGCCUUCGGGUUGUAAAGCCCUUUUGUUGGGAAAGAAAAGCAGCAGGUUAAUACCCCGCUGUUCUGACGGUACCCAAAGAAUAAGCACCGGCUAACUUCGUG